rnacentral:snRNA from 1 species
UGGGCAUCAAGUGUAGUUGGGAUCAAGUGCAGUAUCUGUUCUUAUCAGUUUAAUAUCUGAUACAUCCUCGAUGAGAGGACUUCUUUUUGUGCUCGCGUUGGCAGCACAUAUACU